rnacentral:rRNA from 1 species
GACGAACGCUGGCGGCGUGCCUAAUACAUGCAAGUCGAACGGUUUAGUUCCAAGAGGCUUGCCUUUUGGAACUAGACAGUGGCGGACGGGUGAGUAACACGUAGGCAACCUACCUGUCAAACCGGGAUAACCUCGGGAAACCGAAGCUAAACCCGGAUAAGCUCCUUUUUCGCAUGAAGGGGGAGUGAAAAGGUGCGACCUGAUGACAGAUGGGCCUGCGGCGCAUUAGCUAGUAGGUAGGGUAACGGCCUACCUAGGCGAUGAUGCGUAGCCGACCUGAGAGGGCGUACGGCCACACUGGGACUGAGAUACGGCCCAGACUCCUACGGGAGGCAGCAGUAGGGAAUCUUCGGCAAUGGGCGAAAGCCUGACAGAGCAACGCCGCGUGAGUGAGGAAGGCCUUCGGGUUGUAAAACUCUGUUGUUUGGGAAGAAGGGAAAGGGUAGGACCCUUUGGUGACGGUACCAAACGAGAAAGCCCCGGCUAACUACGUG